GACGAACGCUGGCGGCGUGCUUAACACAUGCAAGUCAAGGGGGCCCAGCAAUGGGCAACCGGCGAACGGGUGCGUAACACGUGAGCAACCUACCGAACUGUGGGGGAUAGCCGGCCUAACGGCCGAGUAAUACCGCAUACGCUUUCAGUGAGGCAUUUCAUUGAAAGGAAACCUACGGGACAGAUCGAGGGGCUCGCGGCCUAUCAGCUAGUUGGCGAGGUAACGGCUCACCAAGGCAACGACGGGUAGCUGGUCUGAGAGGAUGGCCAG
rnacentral:rRNA from 1 species